AGUGAACGCUGGCGGUAGGCCUAACACAUGCAAGUCGAACGGCAGCACAGUAAUAGCUUGCUCUUACGGGUGGCGAGUGGCGGACGGGUGAGGAAUACAUCGGAAUCUACUUUUUCGUGGGGGAUAACGUAGGGAAACUUACGCUAAUACCGCAUACGACCUACGGUUGAAAGCAGGGGAUCUUCGGACCUUGCUCGAUUGAAUGAGCCGAUGUCGGAUUAGCUAGUUGGCGGGGUAAAGGCCCACCAAGGCGACGAUCCGUAGCUGGUCUGAGAGGAGGAUCAGCCACACUGGAACUGAACCACGGUCCAGACUCCUACGGGAGGCAGCAGUGGGGAAUAUUGGACAAUGGGCGCAAGCCUGAUCCAGCCAUACCGCGUGGGUGAAGAAGGCAUUCGGGUUGUAAAGCCCUUUUGUUGGGAAAGAAAAGCAGCAGGUUAAUACCCCGCUGUUCUGACGGUACCCAAAGAAUAAGCACCGGCUAACUUCGUG
rnacentral:rRNA from 1 species